rnacentral:rRNA from 1 species
AAUAGAUACCCCGGUAGUCCACGCCGUAAACGAUGAGUGCUAAGUGUUAGGGGGUUUCCGCCCCUUAGUGCUGCAGCUAACGCAUUAAGCACUCCGCCUGGGGAGUACGGUCGCAAGACUGAAACUCAAAGGAAUUGACGGGGGCCCGCACAAGCGGUGGAGCAUGUGGUUUAAUUCGAAGCAACGCGAAGAACCUUACCAGGUCUUGACAUCCCAUUGGCCACUAUGGAGACAUAGUUUUCCCUUCGGGGACAACGGUGACAGGUGGUGCAUGGUUGUCGUCAGCUCGUGUCGUGAGAUGUUGGGUUAAGUCCCGCAACGAGCGCAACCCUUGUUCUUAGUUGCCAUCAUUUAGUUGGGCACUCUAAGGAGACUGCCGGUGACAAACCGGAGGAAGGUGGGGAUGACGUCAAAUCAUCAUGCCCCUUAUGACCUGGGCUACACACAUGCUACAAUGGACGGUACAAACGGUUGCCAACCCGCGAGGGGGAGCUAAUCCGAUAAAACCGUUCUCAGUUCGGAUUGUAGGCUGCAACUCGCCUAC